rnacentral:lncRNA from 1 species
AUGCGCCUCAGAGGGGUUGAGGCGCUAAGAAAGGUUGCGCCUCAGACCGCCUUAAUUUGUUCGCAGACGACAAUCCAGCCGACUUAUCAUCAUCCGAAGCCGCUUCACUCACCGUAGCCACAGCCGCUUCACUCACAGCAGCUUCACUCACCGUAGCCGCUCCAAACAGAUAAUCCAUUUUCUUAAACCAAAUCCAGCUACUAACACUCCCUACAUCACUCUCCAUCCUCUGAGUCUCUAACUUAUACCUCUUCUUCAGAUUAUCAACUUUAUUCUUACAUUGUUCAAUACUUUUCCGAUUCUGUUUAUCGCAACCCUCAGCAACCAAAUUCGCCACCACUGCCCAAUCCUUCCGUCGCAAAUUGGUCCGAUUCAACGCAAUAUACUUCUCCGUGAACGAAUCAAGAAGGAUCGUCACUUCGGAACCGCUCCAUUCCUCUCGCUCUCUCCGGUGAUCGUCGCCGGUGCCGGCGCCGGAAUCAAGUUUCUGCUUCUUCUCCGGCCGGUUAUUUGGAUCGAAUUUGGCUAGGUCUUCAGCGGUUGUGGCGGGAGAAGUUACGACGGCGGGAGUGUUACGACGGCGGGAGUAGCCGGAGAAGUUACGGCGGCAGUAGUGGCGGGAGAAGUUACGGCGGCGGAAGUGAUCAGAGUGUCGCCGUUGGCGAUAGCGGUGAUUGGUUCGAUGAGUGGUGGUGAUGAAGCCAUUGGAGGUCGUUGGGGUUAGGGUUUGUGGUUUCUCCGAAGAGGGAG